rnacentral:rRNA from 1 species
UGAGACACGGUCCAGACUCCUACGGGAGGCAGCAGUGGGGAAUAUUGCACAAUGGAGGAAACUCUGAUGCAGCAACGCCGCGUGGAGGAUGACACAUUUCGGUGCGUAAACUCCUUUUAUUAGGGAAGAUAAUGACGGUACCUAAUGAAUAAGCACCGGCUAACUCCGUGCCAGCAGCCGCGGUAAUACGGGGGGUGCAAGCGUUACUCGGAAUCACUGGGCGUAAAGAGCAUGUAGGCUGGUUUGUAAGUUGGAAGUGAAAUCCUAUGGCUUAACCAUAGAACUGCUUCCAAAACUGCAGACCUAGAGUAUGGGAGAGGUAGAUGGAAUUUCUGGUGUAGGGGUAAAAUCCGUAGAGAUCAGAAGGAAUACCGAUUGCGAAGGCGAUCUACUGGAACAUUACUGACGCUGAGAUGCGAAAGCGUGGGGAGCAAACAGGAUUAGAUACCCUGGUAGUCCACGCCCUAAACGAUGCACACUAGUUGUUGCUAUGCUAGACAUAGCAGUAAUGCAGUUAACACAGUAAGUGUGCCGCCUGGGGAGUACGGUCGCAAGAUUAAAACUCAAAGGAAUAGACGGGGACCCGCACAAGCGGUGGAGCAUGUGGUUUAAUUCGACGAUACGCGAAGAACCUUACCUGGACUUGACAUAGUAAGAAGAUUUAAGAGAUUAGAUUGUGUCUGCUUGCAGAAACUUAUAUACAGGUGCUGCACGGCUGUCGUCAGCUCGUGUCGUGAGAUGUUGGGUUAAGUCCCGCAACGAGCGCAACCCUCGUGUUUAGUUACUAACAGUUCGGCUGAGGACUCUAGACAGACUGCCUGGGUAACCAGGAGGAAGGUGAGGACGACGUCAAGUCAUCAUGGCCCUUACGGCCAGGGCUACACACGUGCUACAAUGGGGUAUACAAAGAGCAGCGAUACCGCGAGGUGGAGCAAAUCUCAUAAAAUAUCUCCCAGUUCGGAUAGCAGUCUGCAACUCGACUGCUUGAAGUUGGAAUCGCUAGUAAUCGUAGAUCAGCAAUGCUACGGUGAAUACGUUCCCGGGUCUUGUACUCACCGCCCGUCACACCAUGGGAGUUGAUUUCAUUCGAAGCGGGGAUGCUAAAAUAGCUACCUUCCACAGUGGAAUUAGCGACUAGGGUGAAGUCGUAACAAGGUAACCGUAGGAGAACCUGCGGUUG